UUUCUCUCUACUCAGGCUUUAUGAAGCAUGAUUUUCAAACUCUCUGCGAUGAUCACAUGCAUAAUUGCUUCUGUUGCUGUUUUUCAGUACUUCCAGUUUAUGUUACAUUUCUAAUGAAAACUGAUACAUUGCAGUCACCAGGAGUAAGCCAACAUUUACAAUCAAUUACCAUGCAAUGCCAUCUGAAAUACUGCAGCUAUCACCUGCUCGACAUUCAAAACAAUAGAGGGGUGGCUUGGACAGGGCCUGAACAUGGGAUGUCUUGCCCCUCAAGCACCUUGCAGGGAUCCUGGGCCAGGUCUGCACAUCCAGUGGCAGAGCUGCAGAAGCAGCCAUCGCACCCCUCCAGCUGCUUCAUCCCACCCCUAUUCCGCCCACAGCCAGGCAAACAGCUGUGCCAGCACAAUGCAGCGGGCGGUGCAGAAUGAGGGAUGGGGACGAGGAGGGAUGCUUAAACCACGAGGGAAAUACAUGUGGUGGCAGUACAAAGCACUCAAGUUCCUUGAGGUGCUAUCUCCGUGCAGUCCAACAGCACAAUUACUCUGUUGCAUCUGAACAUCCAUUUUGCCAUCUUCUCUUGAGGGGACAGCCUCAGGAGAAUGGAAGAACAACACUACAUUUAGCCAGCUAUGCCUUCUUUGCUGUACCAGUCGAUCCUGGGGACUGAUUUCAGCCCAAAGGCACAGACAAAAUUUCAACCUCUGGAUCCAGCUGCAGAACCAAAGCCAGCAGGAGACAAAUCCCCUAAAGACAUGAGAGCAAGCUGGUGUUGGUGGAAUGAUAUGGGAGCACUGAGCAUGCAGCACCAGUUUAGUGGUGAGAGGUGGAUUUAAAAUGUGCUGCCUCCUCCAUGGUAACUGCUUGUGUGCACGUGAGGAUAAAGCAAGGUAACUCAAGGCAGCCCAGACCUCCUCGUAUGCAUGCACAGUCUUGUAUAUUCACAUGCCAGCUUACCAUCCAGUGACUUGACCAUGUGUUGAGUCCUAGGGGAAUCAGGCAGAACAGUGUCACAGUGGAAUUGAGAACAUCACUGUCCCAAAACAGAGAUGAAUGACUUAGACACAAAAAUAUAGGCUUUGUAAAACAAGAACCUGCUGUGAAAAUAAAUGUUUUGUGGAUGUAAAGUGGGUAAAUUCCAGUCCCUCGGUUUGAGAAACACAAGUCAUGAGUACCAACAAAUGCAAUUGCAAGAGUUUGUCUCCUUGGUAGGUAUCUUCCAGCAGAUGAAAGUGACCACACAGUUUAAACAACUUGUAAAUUUGCAAUUUCUUCUUAGCUCAAAACAAACUUAGUUGUAUUGUUUAAGGAUUAGGUCUCCUCCUCUCUUCGGGUCUUUAAUCUGUAUCAGUAGCUUCUAGAAUCAGAUGUUUCCAAUACAAGUUCAAGGAAUUCUCAGAAAAGAUCCACAGUAAUCAGCCUGGUAUCUGUCUUUAUCUCACUUGAGUGAUCUGGAGAUGAGGUUUUCCAUCUCCUUCUGUACUUGUUUGUUUGACUAUUUUUGUUUUGAAUAUUCUUGCUACUCAUGAAAAACACUAUUUUUUCUAUGUAACUUGAGAACUACUUGAUCUCAGUUUUCUGUUGUGGCAAUGUGUUCUCUCAUCUAAAAUACUCUGGUUUGAAAAAACAUUUUCCUUCAUUGGUAGUGAGUGUGUAAACUCUCAUUUUCAGCGGCUGUUUCACCAUCCUUAUGUAUCAAACGAGGGAAUGGAAGCUCUCAAUCUUUUUUUCUGCAACAAACCAUGUAAUCAGCAUUGGCAUAGUAAGCAAGGAUAGAGCAAUCUUUGUGCCGACAUAAGUGCCCAAAACAUUGGCUCCUGCCUGUGCAUUAACAACAUCAUAUAUCUUUUGGAAACACUGUCUUAAAAUGAUUUUUAGUUUUGAAUAACCUUUAAGGCAGAAAAGCACAAAAAUAAAGAUCUGAAAGGAGUCCUGUGCCCUUUCCCCCUACCCUGUAACUUUUCAGUUACGCAAUGCAAGUUCCUAAAGGUGUAACAAGCUUAAUUAUUUGGCUUCAGGCAUUAGACAGCCUACAUGCAAUCCACCAAUUCUUCACAAAUAUACUAUUCUGACUGCAAAUGGAGCUGUGCAGCCAUAGACUGCUCUGCAGGCUUCUGUAGGACAAUGGGCUCCUUCCAGUCUUACUAAAAAGCCACUGUGAACAGCUCCUCCAAAUGCACAAUUAAAGCUUUGCAAGUCAUAGCUUGUCUCUCCCCAGCCUGUGGCUAAAACCACUCUUUCUUUCCAGCUCCCAUUUGACCUAGAAGCAAGUUCCCAAUUUCAGUUUUUUGAUAUGCCAGAGUAUCACAUUGUGAGACUAAGCAUUUUGAAGGAGAUAUUUCUUCUCAUGACCUUCUGGAUCCUUGGAGAACAUAGUUUAGAGCUUAAUGGAGUUUGAGGACCAAUCUCUUCUUUGACUGAACUCCAGAAACUGUCCCUAGCCUCAUGUUAUUUAUACUUCAUAAAGAUUUGGACACACAGCGGCUAAUGUUUGGAAAAUACUUGCAUGAAAAAAGAAGGUGGCUGAAAAACUCAGAGUGCUAAUUCUUAUGAACUGCAACUUGAAUGCUUGAAAUAAGUCUCUAAAAAAGGAAAACCAUGCAUACUAAUUCUUCUGAGGUUGUAGAAAAGCUUGAAAAAAAAGAAGAAGGAGACGUAAUGCAGCUUUGUAUAGGUUGCAACAGCAAAGAUUUGGCUCAGCAAAAGCUCAUGGUUAGUACAACAAAAUACGUACAUGUUUUUCAUCAGAAUUACAGGAUUAAAUAAGGAGGUUGAAUUAUGGCAAAUGGAAAUUACUAUUUGAUGGAUAAGUGUUAGAGGCACAUAGAUAGCUCUGGGUGCCACAUGUGAAAUCAUGAUCUCACUGAAGUCAAUGGGAAUUUUUCAACAUCUGGAUUUCAUGCCACUUACGUCUUCAGAAAGAGGAGAGUUAAUGUUGGUAUAUGAGUGUGUGUGUGUGUGUGUGUGCCUAAUCAAAGUGUUAUCUUUUUUAGAUAGCAAAAAAUCAGGCAUUAAUUAGCAGCAAGCAGUGCAGUUGGGUGAGGAACUGCGUGGAGAAUACAGCUGAAAGAGCAAAGUGGACCAGACUGGGAAAAGCAGCAGCCGGAGCGGAGCUCACAGAACACUAUAAAGCAGUAGGCUGGAAUAGUACACCAUCCUGGACAGGGAAUUAAGGAAGAAAUGAAAUAGGCCAGCUUGCCAGGAGGCACUGCGGCUUACUGGACAGUUCUGCUUCUAAUGAGCCUCCAGCAAGCCAUGUUUGCAGGAUGUCAAUAGUACUCAUGCUUGUAUUUAUUUUAUUUAUGAAAAGGCAUCUCUCUGGCAAUGGCAAAUGUGGAAAUAUUCUAGAGAUACAUAAGAGCCAAUGCAACCUCUUUGCUUUGAGGCUGUGUCACAACUCAGUAAAACCUGGCAGUAACGGGUGGUGAUGCCAUGAUGAAGUGUUGCGGUGUAACUCUGCAGAUAGCAGGAUGGAUCUGGCAGGCACAAGAUGUGGGUGGGUAGCCUAGUCCUUAGGGAGCAAACCAGAGUGAUGCAAUGUUGCUGUUCCCUGACACUGCCCAACUUCUCCAAAAGGAUGGCCAGACGUAGAGCUCUUACGUCCCCAGUGUGUGUCCUAAAGGCUCUGAGCAGCUGAUCCAGUGGGAAUUGCCAGAUAUUGCCCAUUUCCUAAAUUCCAAACGUGAGCCUGCACGAAGACAUCCACUUCUGACACCGAACUGCUGCUCUCCCGUUGAGGACCAGCACAGCUGCCCGCCUCAGGGGCUGCUCAGGCCCACCAUGCCCUGACAAACUUCGCCCACCUCCCUGGGAAGGCCUGAGCCCAGCUGCUGGCCGCGGGACCGGGGGCACAAAAGGCCGUGAGGGAGGACGGUCGCUGAGGGGCCCACGUUUCGCUUCCGAUUCGCCGUGACCUCUCCCGCCUCCCCGGGCCGGCUCGGCCUGUGCCCCGGCCGCGGGCGGGCGGCAUGUGCCGGGCAGGCGCCCCGGAGCCCCGUAGGGCAGGAGACGCGCUCAGGCUCCCACUUCGUCUUGGCAGGGCACCGCCAUCAGACGGAGUGGGAGGAAGAAACAUUAACUCCAGCAGCUGUUUCUUGACCCCGGCUGUCAGCCUGCCCAAGAAUAUGCUUUUUUUUUUUUUUUUCUGUGUGUGCGUGUGUUUUAUUUUUAUUUUCUGGAGUGUGUGCGUGCGUUUUUUAGACACUGUCCGAGUCCCUCGGGGGGCUGAGUUGUGGCGCGGCCGGUGGAAAGUUGGGUGCCCCUGCUGCCGCCGCCCCCUCCCGGGGAGCGGUACCUCCGUUCCGCCCGACGCGUGUGUGUGAGCCGGACACGCACACGCACUCACACACUCACAGACCCACACGCGCGCGCGCACGCACACACAGCCAGCGCCAGCGCUCAGAGCCGUAGCUAGACUACAGUAAUUCCCCAGCAUGGGCGGCUUGAAACUGCUCGGGCUGAAUAGCAUUUGCUGUUCCGUCCCCGCGGCCGCCUCCCGCCGGCCCCGCGCGGCGCUCUCCUCGCUCUCCUCCGCCCGCGAGUUGUGCUGACACAGGCGGGCUGCGCCCUGCAACGCUGCCAAUGGCCGCCGCUCCUCCCGCCGGCGGGAACACCUCAGCGGGAUGGGGUGUGGGGCUGUGCCCCUGCCCCGGAGCGCGGCUGUUCUCCUCGGGGUGGUGUUUGUGUUAACGUGAAGGGAGAGCAGCAUCAGUUCAACUGUGACCAGCAAGCAUGCAAGUCUACCUGCAGCAGUGCUCUCAUCUGUGCUGAGAAACCCUUAGAAAUUGAGAGAUUGUUCUGAAAAGUGCUGUUCAUUUGUGCGGCUCCUGCUCAGGAGAUGCUCAGGGGACACGUUUACCUUUAACCAAUAUGACAGUUCCAGAGAAAUGGAGUUGGAGUUCUGUAGCAGUGUACCCACCAUAUGCUUCCAGACCUGUCAGCUGUGGUGUGCAAAUGAGACAUUGGUGAUGGUUGUACAGACAUGUCAUUUUCACCACAUCGAGCCAUAAUAAACAAUAACACUGAUAUCCAUCUCUGUGAUGAUUUGAGUAAGAGUAAUUUUGCAUUACUGUUGAUUCCAGUUUUAACCCGUGAAUGCUUUACCUGGAGUUGGAACCUGUGGCUGUUUUAUAAAAGGUCUGACCUACAGAGGAAAGGAAGCUGAUAGUGACUGCACGAUCCUCCACAACCUCCUGGUUGACCUUAGACAAGAUAAACCUUCUUGCUCACAACUUCGUUAAUUAUUAUUGUCUGGUCAGAGGCUUUCUCCAAUGCACAUGGCGAUGGAUAAAUGUAAUAAAGAUCCAGCCUAUGCUAUUCUUUCCUUGUGUACUUUAUCUGCUUACAUUUUGUUUAGCUCCGUGAGUUGACAGUUACUUAAACUUUAUGUUCAUCUGCAACAAAUCUAACAAAAAAACAGAAAAGAGGUAAAUAACGGAACUGUCAAGAGGCAGAUCCUGUUAAGUAAGUUUUCUGAGCACUUAAAUCAUUGUGAUACGUAACAUACAUCCAAAACUUUUACUCCAAAUCCUGUCUUGUCUUACUGCAGAAUUAGUUACACUUAGGAAGUGUUUGGUUCCUCUGAUCAUUCACUGAGGCCACAUCUGGUUGCAUGAGCCCUGUGAUUUCAAGGCCUCCCUCUGUGCUUGGACACACUGUAUACCAGAGAACUGUCAAACUGGUCCUGAGAGGUCCUACUCUGCCAAAAGAAAAUGGUUGCAUACAACACUUAGCUGGUCAGGAGAAGGAGACUGUGUUAGCCAGAGGUGUGAUUUGGACGACCUCUGUGAUGACUUCACAUGGUGCAGAUUUGCCCUUUGCAGGAGGAAAAGAUCAGCAUGAUGCAAUGUGAACAAGGGCAGUAUAGCCCAGUGUUAGCCCUCUGCGGAAAUACUAGCCCAUGCUAGUCGCUAGUACGCCAUCUGGGUAGCAUAAUAGGAACUGGUCUUUAGCUAAGAGGAGCAGAGGUACCUCUGCUGCGGAGUAGUAGGGAAAAAUGUUAUUUCAGAGUAGUGCAAAGUGACUGUUUAUAUACUUGUGCUGCCUAAUGCAACUCCCGCAAACUUUAGCUGGAGUUAUAACUCCAUAGUGAUAAAUGCCAUUCGCAAAACAGUCUCAAUUUUUUGCCACUAGAUCUCCUGAUGGAGUGCUGUGAUGCUCUCAGAUUGUGUGUUAAAUAUGUCUCAAAAUUUAAAUCACUUAGUCUGAUAAAGUGGAAGUCCAAAUCUGUCAUCUAAGAGCUGAGUUGACAACGCGAAGAUGGGGAGCUCAGCUAAUCAGCGAAAGUAGCACUAUGUUUUUGUUACAAAAAAUCUACCAACGAUUUACAACGUUGACACACUGUUUACAAAAGUCACAUGAGAGCUAACCUAUUGCCACAGCUGCACAAGUGUUCAUCCUCAGCUGCCACCCAGCUCAACUUUAACUGUAAUUUACUGUUCUGUGGUAGUAAAAAGACGUAUCUUGGAUCCUGGUUAUUUUGUAUGCCAUUAGGUAAACACAGCGAUGAUGUAGAAAGAAUUAUAUAUUCAAAGGGCAUUAAUGUACAUCA